rnacentral:tRNA from 1 species
GCUGGGUUAGCUCAGUUGGUUAGAGCUUGGUGCCUAUAACACCAAGUUCACAGGUUCAAUCCCUGCUCACUGCA